rnacentral:lncRNA from 1 species
GACUUAGAAAAUGAAGCAACUGCUCACUUACUUGCCAAUUUGACACAUAUAGAUGAUAUGUUGUAUUGCUCUUCACCAGUUACAAGUAACCAAGAACUAUUUCACGAGAUCAAGCAAUGGCAAAGCCGUUUUCCUUUUUUAAGGUAAAGUAAUGUUUUUUUCUUCGAAAACUUCACAGUCCUAUCUGAAUAUGCAUGAUACGAGAUCUUGAUGAAAUGAUAUUUUGUCCACAAUGAUUGCUCAUUAAUUUUCAAUUCUGGUUUAAAUGUUGAUAUACAGGCAUCAUAAAGUGCUACAAGUACCUACUUAUCAUUAUUUUCGUCCUAGGAAAAACUGUUGAUUUUAAGAUUUCUCUCUCUUUUCUUCUUUUUUUUCUUUUCUUUUUGCAAAGGUACUGUAGCUUUUUGAAACUGUUACCCAUCAGAGGUACUUAGUUCAUUGUUAAUAAGCUAAAUGUGAAUACCUAUUAUGAUUCGUAAAGAUUACUUCUCUCAAACUUGAAAUAAGUAUGAUGUUCCGUAUUAGUAUGGCCAAUACUGAAUACUUGAAACUGAACAUUAAUUAACAAUUGGACCAAAUGUUCCAAGCGGCAGUCCAUUUCAGUCUGCCCUCCUCAAACUAGCAUUCUGUGAUGAAUUUGGAUGCAAAAUUGCCACCCUGCGUUGAAUUUUUAUCACAAAUUUUUGAUGAAUCAGCAUUACCCGCCCAUUCUGGCAUUAUGUCUCGCAGCCCCAAACGCCUCCUCCUCCCCCCUUCCCCUGGAAUGCACCUGUAGCUCAGGUUCAGACCUCCCUCUCCCCACGCGGAAAGUAAAAUGUAUUUAAUAAACGGCCCCUUGAUAAUUGUUCCCUUUUUUUGAUCAGGAUGGUUGGCAAAAAAGUGAAGAUACUGGAUAACAGUACCAACAUUAACCAAGAAACCAGUAGAGAGAAAGAAGAAGUCAUUUUCAAUGAUGCUAAUCUCACCAGUACAGACCUCGAACCAGUAACAUCCAACUCAGGGAACACUGCACACCUGAAAAAGCAACUCAGAAGGUCCGUGAUCGAUCAUCUGACAACUCACUUCAUUCAUGCUAUGAAAGAUGAAAUUAUUCAGUGUUCGAAACAUAAAAUCUGUAAACCAGCAUCAAAAGUAAAUAAGGCUCCAAACUGUCGUGUUGAUAAAAUUUCUGACAUUAAUGACAAUAGCCUGCGAGUACAUGAUUUGGAUAAUAUUUUGAAUAUUUCACCAAUAUCACUCAAAGCAACAGGGCCAAAAUCAAAUUAUUUGUCUUCAUUUUCAACCAAUAAAGCGAGAAAUACACAGGCAAAAUCCUCUGUUAGUCAACCAUUCCAUCUUCGCAUCGAGCAGAGAACAUCGACCAAAAUCACUCAACAACCUUUUAGAAAUGCAACUGAUAAUGUCAAAAUCAGUAUCAUGGCAAAUUUGACUUCCAAGCCUGCCAAAAAGUCUCUCGAACUGAAAUUGAGGAAAGACAACCUGAAGACCUCCAAAAAUAUCGAAUCAUCAACUUCAAAUCGAUCUCGUUUUUGUACCCUGCCACCGUUGAAAACUCCUGGACUACGCCCUACCUCAGCGGUAUACAGUAGUUUUAAAAAGCUUCCCAGCGAUUCUAGACCAACAUCAUCUUUCAUCCUUGCUCCUUCAUCACUAAUGAAUGAAUCUUCAGAAAACGAUUUAUCUCUAUGAACUGAAGAGUGUUGGAAUUUCAAACACUUUUGAGGUAAAAAAAUCCUGUAACUUGUAACAGCAUCCAUGCAAUUGUUCUUACUCUCCCUAUUU